rnacentral:tRNA from 1 species
ACUCAGUGGUAGAGUGCGUGCUUAGCAUGCACGAGGUCCUGGGUUCAAUCCCCAG